AUUGAACGCUGGCGGCAUGCCUUACACAUGCAAGUCGAACGGUAACAGGUCUUCGGAUGCUGACGAGUGGCGAACGGGUGAGUAAUACAUCGGAACGUGCCUAGUAGUGGGGGAUAACUACUCGAAAGAGUGGCUAAUACCGCAUGAGAUCUACGGAUGCAAGCAGGGGAUCGCAAGACCUUGUGCUACUAGAGCGGCCGAUGGCAGGUUAGGUAGUUGGUGGGAUAAAAGCUUACCAAGCCGACGAUCUGUAGCAGGUCUGAGAGGACGAUCAGCCACACUGGGACUGAGAACCGGCCGAGACUCCGACGGGAGGCAGCAGUGGGGAAUUUGGGACAAGGGGGGCAAGCCUGAUCCAGCAAUGCCGCGUGCAGGAUGAAGGCCUUCGGGUUGUAAACUGCUUUUGUACGGAACGAAAAGCCCCGGGUUAAUACCCUGGGGUCAUGACGGUACCGUAAGAAUAAGCACCGGCUAACUACGUGCCAGCCGCCGCAGUAA
rnacentral:rRNA from 1 species